ensembl:lncRNA
CUUGUUAAAAUGUUAGUUAGCUAAAGAAUUUUGUUCAAUUCUUAAUCGAUUUGACUGAUAUGAUAGUUAGCUACUUAUCUGAGAUGACUGAGCUUCUCCAACCGAUUAUCCCUCCUAAUUGUCGGUAACUACAACCACGGCCAAGCCUGUUGGCUUGGAAAAGUGUCCGAUUUGAUAGUAUGCAAUAGAAGACUUUUCAGAUUUUGGCACCCAACAGCAAAACGUGACGUUUUAGGAAACAAAUAUUGGCUUGCUCUAAAAAUUACCCAUAGUCUUCCCGCUAUAUUUUUGCAACCAGGAGGCGUGUCUUACUCAGGGGUCUAUAACACUUUUGGGCUAGGUCUUUUUGUGCAUUUUUUGUGAUGUGAGGUGAAAAUGUUACCGCGAUCUGAAACAUUUAAGAGUAACUGCACUUAGAGUGUAACUCAGAGGCUCUCCUCGUGUUAACACGACCACUUCAUGAGGUCAAGGGAAAACAAACUUCUCAGCAUGGGCCUAAAUGACCAACAUUUGCUAGUCGAGUGAUUUAGUUUAGAGCAUAAUCACAAUGCAAAUACGAGCAAUAAUCCGGGGCAAAAAGAACAUUUAUCUAUUCUAAUUAUUUUGGUCAUUCCUUAUUUAUUACUUGAAGCUUCAUCGACGUCAUGUCUUUUUCCCCCUUAUCACCUUUUUCUUCAGUGUACUGUCAGUGAGUACAAUGUGAGCGAGUAAAGGCGUGGGUUAAAAGGUUAUAUCAAUUGCAGGGAGGAACGGUGUACAUUAUUAAUGCACGCAUCCACGACGUUUGAACCCCCCACGGAAAGGGUUGAGGUCAGAGCAUAAAGGCAGCUUCAGCUUUCCAACUUGUUCGAUUGUUCAGAGGAUUUUAUUUUCUUUACAAAAGUAUUCUCACACUGCAGGCUACGCAGAGGGUUGACAUGGAGAAAAGCAGAGAGAGAGAGAAAUACAGAGAAAAGUGCAUGACGACAAAGAGUGGAGGGACGAGGGGAGGAGGAUGAAAACAGCCCGAGUCAGAUGAGGUGAUGCGCUUUGUUUUCUGAAGAACUGCUGCACCUACAUGCUCCCUCAGUCCUGAUUACUGAGUUUAUUCUACUGACUCAUCUCACAAAAAGAAAAUGUUUCUUUGGAAUGCGCAUAAAAAAAAUGAAAAACGACUGAGGCUUUGAGUCAGCAUAGGAGGUGUUGAAUUGUAACCUGCUUGGGAUCUGAUUUAACAUUCAUUGUAGCCGGUUUGGGUUUGUAACUAGACUGGGGUCUAACAAUUUACAUACAACUCGGAUAUGAUCCAACAGCUAUAUUUUUAGAUAACCUAACAACAUCCAGGCAUAAAUUGGUUGGGAUCUGAUCUAACAGUCUCAUAUAACCAGGUUGGAAUCUGAUCUAACAUUCACAUAUAACCUGGUUGGGAUCUGAUCUAACAUCCUGGCAUAACCAGUUGGGAUCUGAUCUAACAGUCUCAUAUAACCAGGUUGGAAUCUGAUCCAACAUUCACA